AUUGAACGCUGGCGGCAGGCCUAACACAUGCAAGUCGAGCGAGCGGGGGACGGGUGAGGAGAGUCUGGGACACUGCCCGAUGGAGUGGGAGAACGACUGGAAUAGGGAGCUAAGACAGCAUACCAUCAGAGGUGCCCAGAGGGGAUCAGCUAGUAGGUGGGGUAACGGCUCACCUAGGCGACGAUCCCUAGAUGGUCUGAGAGGAUGACCGGCCACACUGGAACUGAGUCACGGUCAAGACUCCUACGGGAGGCAGCAGUGGGGAAUAUUGCGCAGUAGGAGGAAGCCUGAUGCAGCCAGGCCGCGUGUGUGAAGAGAGCGUGCGGGUUGUAAAGCAGUUUCAGCGGGUAGGCGUUACCCGCAGAAGAAGCACCGGCAAACUCCGUGCCAGCAGCCGCGGUAAUAC
rnacentral:rRNA from 1 species